rnacentral:tRNA from 1 species
ACAUUGGUGGUUCAGCAGUAGAAUUCUCACCUUUCACGUGGGAGACCUGGGUUUGAUUCCCAGCCAACGCA